rnacentral:rRNA from 1 species
GAGGAAAAGAAACCAACAGGGAUUACCCUAGUAACGGCGAGUGAAGCGGUAAUAGCUCAAAUUUGAAAUCUGGCCUUCACGGGUCCGAGUUGUAAUUUGUAGAGGAUGUUUCGGGCAAGGCUCUGGUUUAAAUUUCUUGGAACAGAAUGUCAUAGAGGGUGAGAGUCCCGUCUAGAACCGAUCGC